AACGCGGGGAAGUGAAACAUCUCAGUACCCGUAGGAAGAGAAAACAAUUGUGAUUCCGUGAGUAGUGGCGAGCGAAAGCGGAUGUGGCCAAACCGUGUGUGUGUUCAAGCCGGCAGGUGUUGCAUGUGCGGGGUUGUGGGGGCCUGUGUGAUCCUGCUGCCGUGGGAUCGGCUUGCAUGUGGUGUGAAGUUGAAUCGUCUGGGAAGGCGGACCGUAGUGGGUGAGAGUCCCGUAGACGUGAGUGUCAUGUGUGGUUGUCAGGUUGCCCCAAGUAGCGCGGUACUCGUGGAAUGUCGCGUGAAUCUGGCGGGACCACCCGUUAAGCCUAAAUACUUCUUGGUGACCGAUAGUGUAUCAGUACCGUGAGGGAAUGGUGAAAAGUACCCCGG
rnacentral:rRNA from 1 species